rnacentral:rRNA from 1 species
AACGAACGCUGGCGGCGCGCCUAAUACAUGCAAGUCGAGCGAGAAGACGUAGCAAUACGUUUGUAAAGCGGCGAACGGGUGAGGAAUACAUGGGUAACCUACCCUCGAGUGGGGAAUAACUAGCCGAAAGGUUAGCUAAUACCGCGUACGCUCCUUGGACUUCGGUUCAGGGAGGAAAGCGAUACCGUGGGUAUCGCGCUCUUGGAUGGGCUCAUGUCCUAUCAGCUUGUUGGUGAGGUAACGGCUCACCAAGGCUUCGACGGGUAGCUGGUCUGAGAGGACGAUCAGCCACACUGGCACUGCGACACGGGCCAGACUCCUACGGGAGGCAGCAGUAAGGAAUAUUGCGCAAUGGGCGAAAGCCUGACGCAGCGACGCCGCGUGGGGGAU